rnacentral:rRNA from 1 species
UGCGUAGGCGGAAUAUUAAGUCAGUGGUGAAAUCCUGCGGCUCAACCGUAGAACUGCCAUUGAUACUGAUAUUCUUGAAUGUAGUUGAGGUAGGCGGAAUGUGUAAUGUAGCGGUGAAAUGCUUAGAUAUUACACAGAACACCGAUUGCGAAGGCAGCUUACUGAACUAUGAUUGACGCUGAGGCACGAAAGCGUGGGGAGCGAACAGGAUUAGAUACCCUGGUAGUCC